rnacentral:rRNA from 1 species
AAGACCUUGCGCUUUUGGAGCGGCCGAUGCCUGAUUAGCUUGUUGGUGAGGUAAAAGCUCACCAAGGCUUCGAUCAGUAGCUGGUCUGAGAGGACGACCAGCCACACUGGGACUGAGACACGGCCCAGACUCCUACGGGAGGCAGCAGUGGGGAAUUUUGGACAAUGGGGGCAACCCUGAUCCAGCCAUGCCGCGUGAGUGAAGAAGGCCUUCGGGUUGUAAAGCUCUUUCAGCCGGAACGAAACGGUCACGGCUAAUACCUGUGACUACUGACGGUACCGGAAGAAGAAGCACCGGCUAACUACGUGCCAGCAGCCGCGGUAAUACGUAGGGUGCGAGCGUUAAUCGGAAUUACUGGGCGUAAAGCGUGCGCAGGCGGUUUUGUAAGUCAGAUGUGAAAUCCCCGGGCUUAACCUGGGAACU